CAUGCAAGUCGAGGGGAAACGACAUCGAAAGCUUGCUUUUGAUGGGCGUCGACCGGCGCACGGGUGAGUAACGCGUAUCCAACCUGCCCAUCACUUGGGGAUAACCUUGCGAAAGUAAGACUAAUACCCAAUGACGUCUCUAGAAGACAUCUGAAAGAGAUUAAAGAUUUAUCGGUGAUGGAUGGGGAUGCGUCUGAUUAGCUUGUUGGCGGGGUAACGGCCCACCAAGGCGACGAUCAGUAGGGGUUCUGAGAGGAAGGUCCCCCACAUUGGAACUGAGACACGGUCCAAACUCCUACGGGAGGCAGCAGUGAGGAAUAUUGGUCAAUGGACGAGAGUCUGGACCAGCCAAGUAGCGUGCAGGAUGACGGCCCUAUGGGUUGUAAACUGCUUUUAUAAGGGAAUAAAGUGAGUCUCGUGAGACUUUUUGCAUGUACCUUAUGAAUAAGGACCGGCUAAUUCCGUGCCAGCAGCCGCGGUAAUACGGAAGGUCCGGGCGUUAUCCGGAUUUAUUGGGUUUAAAGGGAGCGUAGGCCGGAGAUUAAGCGUGUUGUGAAAUGUAGACGCUCAACGUCUGCACUGCAGCGCGAACUGGUUUCCUUGAGUACGCACAAAGUGGGCGGAAUUCGUGGUGUAGCGGUGAAAUGCUUAGAUAUCACGAAGAACUCCGAUUGCGAAGGCAGCUCACUGGAGCGCAACUGACGCUGAAGCUCGAAAGUGCGGGUAUCGAACAGGAUUAGAUACCCUGGUAGUCCGCACGGUAAACGAUGGAUGCCCGCUGUUGGUCUGAAUAGGUCAGCGGCCAAGCGAAAGCAUUAAGCAUCCCACCUGGGGAGUACGCCGGCAACGGUGAAACUCAAAGGAAUUGACGGGGGCCCGCACAAGCGGAGGAACAUGUGG
rnacentral:rRNA from 1 species